rnacentral:piRNA from 1 species
UGAGAAUCGUGAAGGGAGCAGGUGUC